UACGUAGGGUGCGAGCGUUGUCCGGAAUUAUUGGGCGUAAAGAGCUCGUAGGCGGUUUGUCGCGUCGGCCGUGAAAUCUCCACGCUUAACGUGGAGCGUGCGGUCGAUACGGGCAGGCUUGAGUUCGGUAGGGGAGACUGGAAUUCCUGGUGUAGCGGUGAAAUGCGCAGAUAUCAGGAGGAACACCGGUGGCGAAGGCGGGUCUCUGGGCCGAUACUGACGCUGAGGAGCGAAAGCGUGGGGAGCGAACAGG
rnacentral:rRNA from 1 species